UACAGAGGAGCCAAGCGUUGUCCGGAUUGACUGGGCGUAAAGCGCACGCAGGCGGACGCGCGCGUGGGGUGUGAAAUCUGGCCGCUUAACGGCCAGGCGCCAUCCCAUACGGCGCGUCUGGAGUGAUGCAGAGGUCGAUGGAAUUGCCGGUGUAGUGGUGAAAUGCGUAGAGAUCGGCAGGAACACCCAGGGGGAAACCAGCCGACUGGGCAGCUGCUGACGCUGAGGUGCGAGAGCGUGGGGAGCGAACCGG
rnacentral:rRNA from 1 species